CUCUCGCCUGCCUUCGGCCCUUAGGCUCCGGGAGAUUGCAAAUAACCUGCUUUCUUUCUGUUCCCAGGUGGCGUCGGACCCCUGUCAGAGAGUAAAUCUCAAGUAAGGUACCUGCCAUCGGCAGAUUUGAGCUUUCUUCUUGGACACCUAAUACCCACAGUCCUCCAGGCUCCGGUAGACUGCAAAUGACCUGCUUUCUUUCUGUUCCCGGGCUGCGUUUGGACCCCUGUCGGAUAGUAAAUCCCAAGCUCCGGUAGACUGCAAAUGACCUGCUUUCUUUCUGUUCCCGGGCUGCGUUUGGACCCCUGUCGGACAGUAAAUCCCAAGAAUGGAACAGAUAAGAAGAUACUGAAAUUGGACGGUGCUGCCGUGCGGCUGCCGCAGGACACCUUUAAUAUCCCUGUUUCUCAGGCUGUAGAUGAAGGGGUUCAGCAUGGAGGUGAUCACCGUGUACAUCACUGAGGCCACUGCAGCCUUUCUCGGGGAAGAUGACACAUCUGAACUGAGGUACCCUCCAAAGCCUGUUCCGUAAAAUCAGCAAACAACUGACAG
rnacentral:lncRNA from 10 species